AUGACAAUUACUGGUGUUUGCUCUGCCAAUCAGGAAGUGGCAGAAGAUUCUGCAGCUGUGGCAGCCAUCAGGUACAUGGAAAACGCUACAAACACUGUCGUGAUGGAUCUAAACUAUGCAUGGUUUAAAAGGAUGCAGCAAGACAAUGGUUAUUUGAGACUUAGACUUGACGAGGCGUUUGAGGCGAUAGGCAAACUUUCUAAAGGCAGCUUAAUUGCGCUCAGAUACAUGUGUGCCUUCUCGGAUCAGCUUCACUACGUUAUCGAACAUGGCUUUCCACCUACUCGUGUUAUAAUAGACAAAACCACCAAUUAA
rnacentral:rRNA from 1 species